GAAAAUGAUCUAUUCAUACUUCUUUCCCUUGAAAGCUCCCUUGGGGAUCUUGCUAAGGACGCUGGAAUCGAACUUCUGGUAGUGACCGCAAAGCUGGUCGAAGACCUUGGAUGCAAAGGUGUCGACUUCAUCUUCAUAUUUCUCAUACAGAAUUGGAAGUGUAUGGGCCGCAACGAAACCAAUAUACAAGACAGUUAUGAAAUUGCACCAGCUACUAAUCACAGCACCAGCCCACAAGCUUACAACAGCCAAUAGGAAGUGUUUCAAAUUUCCUUCACAAGCAAUAUCUUGGAGAAAACAGAGAGCUCGGUUAACCUCGGCACCAAAUGAGACAGCAAUAUUAACAAAUAGUUCCUCAGGAAGAACGAGGCGAGGAACAUUGGACGAUGAUCUGUUCAGAAA
rnacentral:misc_RNA from 1 species